rnacentral:piRNA from 1 species
UGCUGUCCACGUGCUGAGUUUUACAG